UUUUGGCCUCAGAUAUAAGAAGCAGUGCCAAAUCAGGGGUUGGUGAACUCUCAUGCUUUCUUUCCUUAAAGUAUUUUUACAUGUUCGGACAUUGCUUUGCAUGGGGUGUGAUGGCCCACUGUUUCCGCAAGACCAUACCAUUUCUGGAUGGAUCGGCCUGCUUGGAGCUCCAGUGUCUCACAGCCUCAGAGGGAACCUUUAUCUGAGUUGCUGAGCAAACUCUGGGUACACCAAUGAAGGCUUGCUAAGGAGACUCUGGCAAGAGCUACCGACGUGCUCUUCUGCUCCUGAGGUUCAGAUGUAGCCAGUGCAAGCAAACACUGAAUCUAAGAAGUUCCAUGUCAAGAACGUGGGGGGCCCCCUCUGUCGUUUGGAAUGAAUAACUUGCACCCCUUUUAUGAGUUGGGGUUCCACAAGGAGGAGCAUCCACAGAGGGGAACAGCCAAGGCUGUGCCGUAUGGCAUGUACAGCUGUACGGGCUGGAGUCUAGGCUCAUUUUGAUUCUUUCCAGUAUAUAACUGAGCCUGGUUUUCUUCACCCGUGAGAUGGAGUAGGCACAAUACAGAGCUUCAGAGACCUGGGUAGGUGACUCGAGAUCAGACACCCUAUGGAGUUAAAGCUUCAAGAGUUAGAGGGACACAUAGGUGUGUGCCACCCUCAACCAACAGCCCCCCACUGUAGGGGUACACUGUAGUCUUCUGCCUCACACAGUUGUUGAUCUCUUGUCUGCUGACCACAAGAAGACUUCCAGUUUACACUCUUAGCUUAUGCUUCCGAGGGUGAUCUUUCUUCAGGCUUCAGUCAAUGUCAAUAUUAUGGAUUCUAUCAUGGCCUGGCCCAGGCUCUGUCUUCACACUGUACCCACCCUGCCCACCACGGACCAGCAGGUGGUCCUCUGCCUUCCAGGGCCUUGUACUCUCAGGUACCUCAUGGGGACUCAACCACAUGUAUAGAGGGAACCAAUAAACAGCAUUCUUGGUGACUUAGUGUU
rnacentral:lncRNA from 1 species